AAGCUGGGGCAGUAUUCAAACUUAAGUCUCCAUCUGCAACACCUGGCAGGGCUGUUAAAAAACAGAUUGCCGGGUCCUACCACCAGUUUAGGGCAAGACAGAGAACUGGUGAUCCUAACAUGGUCCCACGUGAUGUGGAGAGAGCUGAUCCUGAGACCACGCUUUGAGGAUGACUCUGCUGAGGCCCCACUAGACCCUGGCUGGAAAUAGAGUUGUGCCACUGUGGCUGCCACCGUCUGUCACACACACGCGAGUGGAGAGUUGACAAUGAAGCUACACUGCAGAGAAGGCAGAUCAAGAAGGCUCUGCUGUCCCCACCGCUGCCCUUGACCUCCAGAAAGCUGACUAGCAGACCACUGGAAGCUCCUACAAGAGGGAACCAUGACACAAUGACGCACAGAAAUCACGUGGGCAACUUUCGAGGGAGCAGAAGCUGGUGUCAGCUCUGAAAAGC
rnacentral:lncRNA from 1 species